rnacentral:rRNA from 1 species
GACGAACGCUGGCGGCGUGCUUAACACAUGCAAGUCGAACGGAAAGGCCCUGCUUUUGUGGGGUGCUCGAGUGGCGAACGGGUGAGUAACACGUGAGUAACCUGCCCUUGACUUUGGGAUAACUUCAGGCAACUGGGGCUAAUACCGGAUAGGAGCUCCUGCUGCAUGGUGGGGGUUGGAAAGUUUCGGCGGUUGGGGAUGGACUCGCGGCUUAUCAGCUUGUUGGUGGGGUAGUGGCUUACCAAGGCUUUGACGGGUAGCCGGCCUGGUAGGGUGACCGGCCACGUUGGGACUGAGAUACGGCCCAGACUCCUACGGGAGGCAGCAGUGGGGAAUAUUGCACAAUGGGCGGAAGCCUGAUGCAGCAACGCCGCGUGCGGGAUGACGGCCUUCGGGUUGUAAACCGCUUUCGCCUGUGACGAAGCGUGAGUGACGGUAAUGGGUAAAGAAGCACCGGCUAACUACGUG